ACACCUCAACUCUCUACGGUUUGCCGUGGAGAGCUUGGACUUUGGAGGUUUGCUGGCCCUCGGUCGGCUCCUCUCAAACGAAUCAGCUUCCCAGUGUUUGGUGGCGUCACGGGUGUGAUAACUAUCUACGCUCGCGAUCCGUCCGCCUCGCAACCUUCAGCGAUGGAGGUUCGCUGGAGCUCAAAAACGUCUCUCCUCAGCGAAGACAGCUUUUCUGACGU
rnacentral:misc_RNA from 1 species